AAUUUCUUGAAAUUCUUCAAAUCUAAAAAGAGGAAAAAAAAGGGUAGUUGAAUUUUACUGUUAUCAGCUUUUUAUAGCUGAAAUUUGUUGACUGUGCCACAAUUUGUGGGACUUAAGUCUUAAUUUUUUAAAAAAAAAUCAUUGCAAGCUUUGCUUUUUUUUUUUUUGGGGGGGGGGGUCAUAAAGAAAGUUGGGUCACACACAUUUCAUUACUACAUUCUCUGAAUUAAUCUCUCAGAAAAAAUUUUUUAGGGUUUUGUGUUUGGAUGGAGAUAAACUGUGAGAAAAUGUGGGAAUGUGAGGGGAAGGGAGAGGAGAUAUGAGUGAACUAUGGGGUGUGUGUUUGGGAGAGAGGUUUCAGGGAGACCGGUAGGGAGGGAAGAAAGGAAGAGAGAGGAAGUUGGUAGGGUUUCCAAAAGGUCGGAGAAGGGUGAAGAGGUUGUUAGAGAUGGAAGUAACAGCCAGAGGGUGGACGAGGAGAAGGCGGAGGAAGAAGAAGCAGCUGCUGCCGCCGCCGCUGCAGCGAAAGCAAGAGCGAAAAGGCGGUCUUCACGGCCGAAUCCACGGCUGAGUAACCCACCCAAGCACGUCCACGGCGAACAAGUCGCCGCCGGCUGGCCAUCUUGGCUGUCUAUCGUCGCCGGUGAAGCCAUCAGCGGCUGGACUCCUCGCCGUGCUGAUUCUUUUGAGAAGAUUGAUAAGAUUGGUCAAGGAACAUACAGUAAUGUGUACAAAGCUAGGGAUACUUUGAGUGGGAAGAUUGUUGCAUUAAAGAAAGUUCGUUUCGAUAAUUUGGAGCCGGAAAGUGUUAAGUUCAUGGCUAGGGAGAUUAAGAUUUUACGCCGAUUGGAUCAUCCUAAUGUGAUAAAAUUAGAAGGAUUGGUGACUUCAAGAAUGUCAUGUAGUUUGUAUCUUGUAUUUGAGUAUAUGGAGCACGAUUUGGCCGGACUCGCUGCUAGUCCGGCUAUAAAGUUCACCGAGUCUCAGGUAAAAUGUUAUAUGCAUCAGUUGUUAUCGGGGCUCGAACAUUGUCACAACCGACAUGUAUUGCAUCGUGAUAUUAAGGGGUCUAAUCUUCUUAUUGACAAUGGUGGUGUUCUUAAGAUAGCGGAUUUUGGUUUAGCUUCAUUUUUCGAUCCUAAUCACAAGCAGCCAAUGACUAGUAGGGUGGUUACACUUUGGUAUCGACCUCCAGAGCUCCUUCUUGGUGCCACAGAUUAUGGUGUUGGUGUGGAUCUCUGGAGUGCUGGUUGCAUUUUAGCUGAGUUAUUAGCUGGAAGGCCCAUCAUGCCUGGUCGCACCGAGGUGGAGCAAUUACACAAGAUAUUCAAACUAUGCGGCUCUCCUUCAGAUGAAUAUUGGAAAAAGUCAAAGUUGCCACAUGCAACCAUAUUUAAGCCUCAACAAUCAUAUAAACGAUGUAUAGCUGAAACUUUUAAGGACUUUCCACCAUCAUCGUUGCCUCUGAUUGAUACUCUUCUUGCAAUUGAUCCUGUUGAGCGCCUGACAGCUACAGCCGCAUUAAAUAGUGAAUUCUUCACGACCAAGCCUUAUGCUUGUGAUCCUUCCAGCCUUCCAAAAUACCCUCCUUGCAAGGAGAUGGAUGCUAAGCUACGAGAUGAAGAAGCUAGAAGAUUGCGAGCUGCUGGAAGACCUAAUGCUGGAGUGAAGAAAGCUCGUCCACGUGAUCGAGCUGCGCGGGCAAUUCCUGCUCCAGAAGCAAAUGCUGAGCUUCAAGCCAACCUUGAUAGACGACGGUUAAUAACACAUGCAAAUGCCAAAAGCAAGAGUGAGAAAUUUCCACCUCCACACCAAGAUGGAACUCUUGGUUAUCCUUUGGGUUCUGCACAUCCGAUAGAUCCUGGUUAUGAUCCACCCGAUGUUCCGUUUAGUACAAGUUUCUCAUAUUCAAAUAAAGCACCAAUCCAGACAUGGUCUGGCCCUUUGAUCGACUCUUCUGCGGUUGGUGCUCCGAGGAGAAAGAAGCACAUGUCAGGUGAUGGUCAUUCACAUUCAAAGUCAACUAAGAAAGACAAGAAUUCGACUCGAAUAUAAGAGACUACAUAUAAAACGGGCUGCUGGAAAGCCAAAACAUUGCUGCUACAAAGUGUUUCUUUGAUCUGCAACCGGGAAAACCGGAAACUGCUUCAGAGGAAUCACAUAUCGGUGGAGCAAAUGAAAAUGUUUGAAGAACGGGUAUUGGAAUGCAAUAUCUGGAAUAUGCAUGCUCCUCCAUCACCGUUAGUAGAAAACUACCUACAGGAAGCGGGUUUCUAGCACGUGGCGACGGUAGGCCGAGGAUGCAAGUUGGACCCGAAACUGAUCAGUGCGUUGAUCGAGAGGUGGAGACCCGAGACGCACACAUUCCAUCUUCCAUGUGGAGAGUGUACUAUCACUCUAGAAGAUGUCCAUCUGCAAUUGGGAUUGCCGGUGGACGGGCACCCAGUCACCGAGUCUGCCCAAUCUAGCAAUUGAGAGGCGGUGUGCUACGAGCUUUUGGGCGCUAUUCCGAAUAAAAUGGAUGGAGGUAAGGUCGAGAUGGGCUGGUUACGUGCCACCUUCCCCGAUCCGAAUGCAAAUUCAACCGAAAUUGAAAGAAUCCGAUAUGCUCGAUCAUACAUUCUUCAAAUAAUUGGAGGUUAUCUGAUGCCCGACACGUCACGGAGCCGUGUACAUCUAAGGUGGCUGCUAAAACUCGUUGAUUUUAGAGGAGCCGGUGAAUUUAGUUGGGGGUCUGCCGUCUUGGCAACAUUAUAUCGGGAGAUGUGCGGGGCGACGCGACCGAGGAGAGCAAACAUCGGAGGUUGCCUGUCACUACUGCAAUCAUGGGCACUGUUUCGCUUUCCAUUUCUACGUCCUCGAGUGAA